GCCUUUGUGGUGUAGUGGUCAACGUGCUCGACGCGUAUUCGAGAGGUCCGUGGUUCGAGUCCCGGCGAGGGCG
rfam:Stegodyphus mimosarum contig2071, whole genome shotgun sequence.